CCUACGGGUGGCAGCAGUGGGGAAUAUUGCGCAAUGGGCGAAAGCCUGACGCAGCGACGCCGCGUGAGGGAUGAAGGUCUUCGGAUCGUAAACCUCUGUCAGCAGGGAAGAACGGUCACUGUGCUAAUCAGCAGUGAAUUGACGGUACCUGCAAAGGAAGCACCGGCUAACUCCGUGCCAGCAGCCGCGGUAAUACGGAGGGUGCGAGCGUUAAUCGGUAUUACUGGGCGUAAAGCGCUCGUAGGCGGUAUGUCAAGUCAAGGGUGAAAUCCCCGCGCUCAACGUGGGAACUGCCUUUGAAACUGGCAGACUGGAGUGUGUGAGAGGUAAGUGGAAUUCCAGGUGUAGGAGUGAAAUCCGUAGAUAUCUGGAGGAACAUCAGUGGCGAAGGCGACUAUCUGGCACAUAACUGACGCUGAGGAGCGAAAGCGUGGGUAGCAAACAGGAUUAGAUACCCUAGUAGUC
rnacentral:rRNA from 1 species